rnacentral:rRNA from 1 species
AUUGAACGCUGGCGGCAGGCCUAACACAUGCAAGUCGAACGAGUGGCGGACGGGUGAGUAAUGUCUGUGAAACUGCCCGAUGGCGGGGGAUACCUACUGGAAACGGUAGCUAAUACCGCAUACCAUCGGAUGUGCCCAGAUGGGAUUAGCUAGUAGGUGGGGUAACGGCCCCCCUAGGCGACGAUCCCUAGCUGGUCUGAGAGGAUGACCAGCCAAACUGGAACUGAGACACGGUCCAGACACCUAGGGGAGUCAGCAGUGGGGAGUAUUGCACAAGGGGCGCAAGCCUGAUGCAGCCAUGCCGCGUGGAUGAAGAAGGCCUUCGGGUUGUAAAGUACUUUCAGCGAGGAGGCGUUACUCGCAGAAGAAGCACCGGCUAACUCCGUGCCAGCCGCCGCGGUAAUUC